rnacentral:rRNA from 1 species
UACAGAGGAUGCAAGCGUUAUCCGGAAUUACUGGGCGUAAAGCGCACGUAGGCGGACUCUUAAGUCGGUGGUGAAAUCCUGGAGCUCAACUCCAGAACUGCCUUCGAUACUGGGAGUCUUGAGUCCGGGAGAGGUGAGUGGAACUGCGAGUGUAGAGGUGAAAUUCGUAGAUAUUCGCAAGAACACCAGUGGCGAAGGCGGCUCACUGGCCCGGUACUGACGCUGAGGUGCGAAAGCGUGGGGAGCAAACAGG